GCCUGGGUGGCUCAGUCAGUUAAGCAUCUGACUUCUGCUCAGGCUGUGAUCUCACAGCCUGUGGGUUUGAGCCCCACAUCAGGCU
rnacentral:tRNA from 1 species